AUUGAACGCUGGCGGCAUGCUUUACACAUGCAAGUCGAACGGUAACAGGCCGCAAGGUGCUGACGAGUGGCGAACGGGUGAGUAAUGCAUCGGAACGUGCCCAGUCGUGGGGGAUAACUACUCGAAAGAGUAGCUAAUACCGCAUACGAUCUAUGGAUGAAAGCGGGGGACCGUAAGGCCUCUCGCGAUUGGAGCGGCCGAUGUCAGAUUAGGUAGUUGGUGGGGUAAAGGCUCACCAAGCCAACGAUCUGUAGCUGGCCUGAGAGGACGACCAGCCACACUGGAACUGAGACACGGCCCAGACUCCUACGGGAGGCAGCAGUGGGGAAUUUUGGACAAUGGGCGCAAGCCUGAUCCAGCAAUGCCGCGUGCAGGAAGAAGGCCUUCGGGUUGUAAACUGCUUUUGUACGGAACGAAACGGCUCUGGUUAAUACCCGGGGCUAAUGACGGUACCGUAAGAAUAAGCACCGGCUAACUACGUG
rnacentral:rRNA from 1 species